rnacentral:rRNA from 1 species
CGGGACACGUGGUAUCCUGUCUGAAUAUGGGGGGACCAUCCUCCAAGGCUAAAUACUCCUGACUGACCGAUAGUGAACCAGUACCGUGAGGGAAAGGCGAAAAGAACCCCGGCGAGGGGAGUGAAAAAGAACCUGAAACCGUGUACGUACAAGCAGUGGGAGCACGCUUAGGCGUGUGACUGCGUACCUUUUGUAUAAUGGGUCAGCGACUUAUAUUCUGUAGCAAGGUUAACCGAAUAGGGGAGCCGAAGGGAAACCGAGUCUUAACUGGGCGUUAAGUUGCAGGGUAUAGACCCGAAACCCGGUGAUCUAGCCAUGGGCAGGUUGAAGGUUGGGUAACACUAACUGGAGGACCGAACCGACUAAUGUUGAAAAAUUAGCGGAUGACUUGUGGCUGGGGGUGAAAGGCCAAUCAAACCGGGAGAUAGCUGGUUCUCCCCGAAAGCUAUUUAGGUAGCGCCUCGUGAAUUCAUCUCCGGGGGUAGAGCACUGUUUCGGCAAGGGGGUCAUCCCGACUUACCAACCCGAUGCAAACUGCGAAUACCGGAGAAUGUUAUCACGGGAGACACACGGCGGGUGCUAACGUCCGUCGUGAAGAGGGAAACAACCCAGACCGCCAGCUAAGGUCCCAAAGUCAUGGUUAAGUGGGAAACGAUGUGGGAAGGCCCAGACAGCCAGGAUGUUGGCUUAGAAGCAGCCAUCAUUUAAAGAAAGCGUAAUAGCUCACUGGUCGAGUCGGCCUGCGCGGAAGAUGUAACGGGGCUAAACCAUGCACCGAAGCUGCGGCAGCGACGCUUAUGCGUUGUUGGGUAGGGGAGCGUUCUGUAAGCCUGUGAAGGUG